GUGAUGGUGUUUUCCCUGAUGACCAUCCUAUUAAAGCAGACAUUGUGUUUGGAAGAUAGCUUACUUUCUAGUUCAAGACUGCCCGAAUAUGCCUUUUUAAAGUUUGGGAUAUAGCUCAGGGGUUGGGGGGUUUAAUCAGUUCGUCGUUUCUUCUUUGGGAGGAGACCCUAACUUCUUUCAGAUGCGAUUUAAAUCAGAGAUUUCUCUCCUUCUCUUGAUUUGAUUUGGCUUUGCUCUGUCAGUGGAUCGGAUUGGUAUCACUGGGUGAUGGAUUCAAUCAAGAUUAAAUUUGGGGUGUGGGGGAACAAGUUAGGAAACGUGCAUGUUUUGAUAUUGCAUACUUGCAACUGUUAUGGCCGAGAACAAGAAAUUUCUUUAUAGUUUUCCUGUUUUUCACUUCAAUGCAGUGAUCUCUUUGUUUUGCAUUAUUUUUUAGACUAGCAUUACAUGCGCUGGUUUGAACUGUGGU